UNUGACUUGAGUGCAGAAGGGGAGAGUGGAAUUCCAUGUGUAGCGGUGAAAUGCGUAGAUAUAUGGAGGAACACCAGUGGCGAAAGCGGCUCUNUGGUCUGUCACUGACGCUGAGGCUCGAAAGCGUGGGUAGCGAACAGGAUUAGAUACCCUGGUAGUNCACGCCGUAAACGAUGAGUGCUAGGUGUUAGGCCCUUUCCGGGGCUUAGUGCCGGAGCUAACGCAAUAAGCACUCCGCCUGGGGAGUACGACCGCAAGGUUGAAACUCAAAGGAAUUGACGGGGGCCCGCACAAGCGGUGGAGCAUGUGGUUUAAUUCGGAGCAACGCGAAGAACCUUACCAGGUCUUGACAUCCCGAUGCUAUUCUUAGAGAUAGGAAGUUACUUCGGUACAUCGGAGACAGGUGGUGCAUGGUUGUCGUCAGCUCGUGUCGUGAGAUGUUGGGUUAAGUCCCGCAACGAGCGCAACCCUUAUUGUUAGUUGCCAUCAUUAAGUUGGGCACUCUAGCGAGACUGCCGGUAAUAAACCGGAGGAAGGUGGGGAUGACGUCAAAUCAUCAUGCCCCUUAUGACCUGGGCUACACACGUGCUACAAUGGUCGGUACAACGAGUUGCGAGCCGGUGACGGCAAGCUAAUCUCUGAAAGCCGAUCUCAGUUCGGAUUGGAGGCUGCAACUCGCCUCCAUGAAGUCGGAAUCGCUAGUAAUCGCGGAUCAGCACGCCGCGGUGAAUACGUUCCCGGGCCUUGUACACACCGCCCGUCACACCACGAGAGUUUGUAACACCCGAAGUCGGUGAGGUAACCUUUUAGGGGCCAGCCGCCUAAGGUGGGANGGAUGAU
rnacentral:rRNA from 1 species